rnacentral:rRNA from 1 species
AUACGAAAGGUGCAAGCGUUGUUCGGAAUUACUGGGCGUAAAGCGCACGUAGGCGGGUCUGUAUGUCGAUUGUGAAAGCCCCGGGCUCAACCUGGGAAUUGCAGUCGAAACUGCAGAUCUUGAAUACCUGAGAGGGUGGGGGAAUUCCUGGUGGAGAAGUGAAAUUCGUAGAUAUCAGGAGGAACACCUGAGGCGAAGGCGCCUGCCUGGCAGUGUAUUGACGCUGAUGUGCGAAAGCGUGGGGAGC